CCUACGGGUGGCAGCAGUGGGGAAUAUUGCGCAAUGGGCGAAAGCCUGACGCAGCGACGCCGCGUGAGGGAUGAAGGUCUUCGGAUCGUAAAGCUCUAUCAGCAGGGAAUAGAAAAGAAGGUACCUGAAAAAGAAGCCCCGGCUAACUACGUGCCAGCAGCCGCGGUAAUACGGAGGGGGCAAGCGAUAUCCGGAUUUACUGGGGUUAAAGGGAGCGUAGACGGAAAGGCAAGUCAGAAGUGAAAGCCCAAGGCUCAACCAUGGGACUGCUUUUGAAACUGUCAAACUAGAGUACGGGAGAGGUAAGAGGAAUUCCUAGUGUAGCGGUGAAAUGCGUAGAGAUUAGGAGGAACACCAGUGGCGAAGGCGUCUUACUGGACCGAAACUGACGUUGAGGCUCGAAAGCGUGGGGAGCAAACAGGAUUAGAUACCCCGGUAGUC
rnacentral:rRNA from 1 species